rnacentral:rRNA from 1 species
GACGAACGCUGGCGGCGUGCUUAACACAUGCAAGUCGAACGCUGAAGCUCAGCUUUUGUUGGGUGGAUGAGUGGCGAACGGGUGAGUAACACGUGAGUAACCUGCCUCCUUCUUUGGGAUAACGCCCGGAAACGGGUGCUAAUACUGGAUAUUCACUGGUCUUCGCAUGGGGGUUGGUGGAAAGGGUUUUUCUGGUGGGGGAUGGGCUCGCGGCCUAUCAGCUUGUUGGUGGGGUGAUGGCCUACCAAGGCUUUGACGGGUAGCCGGCCUGGGAGGGUGACCGGUCACAUUGGGACUGAGAUACGGCCCAGACUCCUACGGGAGGCAGCAGUGGGGAAUAUUGCGCAAUGGGCGAAAGACUGAUGCAGCGACGCCGCGUGAGGGAUGGAGGCCUUGGGGUUGUGAACCUCGUUCGCUCAUGGUCAAGCCGCAACAAUGGUUGUGGUGAGGGUAGUGGGUAAAGAAGCGCCGGCUAACUACGUG